UAACACAGGCAUAAUUAUUUCAUACUCUUGGAAAUGUUUUGCAUGAUGACCUUCAUAAAAAAAGGAAGUUGUAUAGCUCUUGGAGAGUUUACAUUCUCGCUUUUUCUUUUUUCAGUAUUUUAGAAUAUAAGAAUAGUGCAUGAGCCCUUAAUGUGGAAGCAGGAAAAAAGGGAGAGAAGCCAAUAAUUCUUCCAACACCGUGUAUUUUCUACAACUGUAAGAGGAAGAAAUUCAGAACUCUCAAACCUGUUUCACAAACAUAUGCACCUUCAAAGGAUUCUGCAGCUUACACAGGAAAUUAAGUAUCAUCAAUGUGUUUCAAGAGAUGCUUCUUUCUAAACUACUUACCUUUUUUACUGUUAAGCCCAGUAACUACUGAAGCUUUACAAGAGGGGGAAGUGAUGAUCACACGUCUGAAGAGAACACCUAAGUGUCACAUUUUCUGGAUGUUGAUGUUUUACACCCAUUGCCCAUAGUUUACAGCGUACCAGAGAACGUUUCUAGCCCGCUGCCAAGAAGCACAGCUAGCUGGGAUUCUUCAAGGUACCAGCUCCGCACCUCUGCCCAGACACAGCCAUCAGAAAAUGGCUACUCCUUUAAAUUCUGUGUAAGGAGAGAUCCCUCCCCUCCCUUCUUCAGGCGAAGUCUCCUUCUUCUCUGAAGCAAUUAAAACACAGACUAAGGAAUGGGCUCCAGAAGCCCCAAAUAUUACAUUGUACUUAAAUGAAGAAUUAAUCUUAAUGCUGUUAGCAUCACAUAUCAGCUUAAGAGCACGCUAUUUCAUUGACACAACUAUCUGAAGAAAAACUAAUGCAUACCAGAUUAUUCCAUGUAAUAUCCUGUAAUCCUGUAAUGCAUGAUAGUUUUAAAACAAACUUGUGUAAGGAAGUAGUAGAGGUCACUAUUCUCCCUUAAAACCUUUCAUGCUUUUGGCGAGAGUUUACGUGUAACUUGGAAAACAACAGUAAGACCUUCUGUUUGCGUGGAUAGAGCUUUUACUCUGUGCAUUUUCACAGCAAUUGGUACUAGUCUUAACAGCAAGAUGGUUUCUGAAGGAAUUAAGCACCUCUUUAUAUUUGGCCGUAUUCUCACACUAAGGUUUAUGUAUGGGUUUUUUAGGGGGGAGGGAGGGCAGGCUGUGUUUCAGAAGCAGCGUGCGUGUUAGCAAAACUGCAGGAACUUCAGUCUGAAGCUCCCUCUGCUUCACAUCUUUUCCCCAAUAAGCCCCCUGCUUCUAGCUCCGAUUCCGUACCAGCUCUCCCAAGAGGCAGAUUAUCUGAAGACUUAUUUUCAAGUAUGGGGAAUUUUAUAAAGAAGCAAAUU
rnacentral:lncRNA from 1 species